rnacentral:pre_miRNA from 1 species
AGUGAGAUUGCUGGCUCAUAUGGCAAGUUAUGUUUAAUUUUAUAAGAAAGUGCCAAACUGUUUUCCAGAGUCACUAUACCAUUUUGCAUUGCCAUCAGCAAU